GAUCGGAACCAGCGGGCGGGGAGCAGCCCGGGGCUCCCUUCCGGGGCCGGAGCGCAGACCCCCGCAUCCUUCUGCGGACCUGCCUUAGCGCCUCGGCCGUUCCUCUGUGUCUGGCCGUGUGCACAGGGUUUGGCACUCGUUGUCUCAUUUAACCCUCGCAGCUUUCCUGUGCGGUCAGGAGCGAAGUUAACCCCAUUUUAUCGAUGGGGAAACUGAGGCACCAUGUUGCGACUUGCCCGAGUCAGCUAUUUCUUGACGGAAACAGGUCUCGGACCUAGUUUAUACCCCAAAGCUACGCCAUACAUCACUCCUAUCCCCUCUUCUGCCGCAUUGCUUCAGUUGCGGAGCGGCGGAGGGAAGAGAAAAUGAUGGCUGUGAAGGAGAAUGAUGGAGCCUCAGUCGAUGGUCGUUCACUUCUGGCGAAACUAGGUUUCUGUUAGGGCAGUUUACUGCGCAGACUUUUUUCCUCCUCCCCCUGCUCCCUCAGCCCGUCCCAGCCCUUUUGCCAGGCCAUUGCCUUCUCAUAUGCGUUCUCUUCAAAGCUACCCCUUUUUGGAAUGCCACCAUUGUUUUCAGAAUAGGAAAGGGUGACACUUGACCUGUCUUUUCUUGGCAUCUUUCAUGGUAAUAUAGAUGUGUAAACUUGAGCUGUAAGUCUUUCUGAACAUCCAUAAUUUAAGAAUUCAUAGAAGUACGGGUCCUAGGAGCAAGCUUUUAAGCUGGCAGUGCAGCAUAAAUUUAUUUUUGAAAGUUGUUGAAUAAGUCAGUGGGAAGAAUUUUUUUUCCUUUACCCCUUAAUCUCUUCUAUGUAUUGUAUUAGAGUAAACAUUGUGAUCGAUAGUGAUCUGAGCAACUGAAAGCUGCCGCGAGUGGCGUUUAUGCCUGUACCUCUGCUUGACACAAUGAAUUAAGAAAAAUAAAACUGUGUGGAUAGUGACAGGCGUAGUGCAGGGAAAAAAGCCAAGGUGGUCAAGUGUUGGGUUCUGUCUGAUCCGCUGAGUAGCUGUGGGGCAUUGCCCCUGCCAGUCUUACCAUUUCUGACCCACGGUUUGUUGUAGGAAAGUUCUUUUUUCACACAUAAAAGUACCAUGAAAAAAAAAUUUGAACAUUGUAAGUCUGUCUGCAAUUUUUCAGGAUCACAAUUGUUUUUCUAGAGUUAGGUCUUAACUUUUUUGGAACCCCCUUUGAUAAAUAGAUGAAAGCAAUGGACUCUAUAUUGCCCAGACAUCACAAAUACACAAUUUAUAAACAAAUCCCAGGGAGUAUGCACUGAUCUUGAAGUCCACCCAUUGCUCACAGAAAGCAGAAAGUCCUGAGCAAGAUUAUAGCUUAAUUUUCUUUUCUCAGAUGCCUCUCGCUUCCACAUAGCCAUAGUGGACAGCAGAGCUGGGAGUGUAAUUCAAGGUCUUCAUGUAGAAACUGUUCAUAAAAUUGGGGCCGCUAGAACUGUUGUUUAAAAAUACUUUUUUUUUCUAAGUAAACUAUAUCUUCCUAAGGGCUUGAGUUUUUUCAUACGAAUUGAUGAUUUUUUUUCUUGUAAGUUCUUUCAGAGUCAGCUUGGGUAAGUGGUAGUACUUUUUCCAAGAGAGAAGAAACUGAACUACAGUUAGGCUGCUGGUGGAAUCAGUGAUGUAAAUGGUGUCACACCUCAGUUGCAGGAGCUCUACCCCAAAGUCUGUCCUUUCAUUUAGCAAUGUGUGGAACUCCUUCUUUGUGCCACGCGCACAGGCAGUGUGGUCUUACAGUGAAAUGCAGACUGAUACUCCUGGUAGUAACAGCGCAGGCAGUUACCUCUGUCUGAACUCACUUGCAUGAUGUGGGCAAUACAAUGUCUUAAAACUAUUUUUGUGCCCCCACCUAUCCAAGUCAGAGUUCUUAAUCUGUGCGUGUAUGUGCAUACACAUGGACAGCUUUGGCAGUCUGAAGCCCAUAGACCUCUUUUCAUCUUUAUGUUUUCAAAUGCAUGAAAUACAUAGGAUUAUGAAGAAAACCAAUUACAGUGAACUACAUUUAUCGAAAACAUUUUUUAAAGUGGUGUUAACAUGUACUUUUGAACUGACUCAUUAAAUUAGACCUUCCGGUGUAAUUAUUACUAUUUUGAAGUAAUGAUGAAGGUCAACAGCAUUUCAAAAUAAUGUAAUUACUGUAAAGGUGAUAUGAAAAGAAUCAGUGAUUUCUGUUGGUGACAAAGUCACAGAUAUUGAUGCCACUGUGAAUAGCUGCCUUGAUUUGUAAUGGAAGGAAAUGCUGAAAUUUCAGCUAGAGGUUAGUGAAAUUAUGAAUGCAAUUCUGGACCUCAAGUUAAGAAACGGUGCUGUAGAGGAGCUGUGCCUAGGGGCACGUGGCCAUAAAUCCCACCUCAGUGCAGUGAUUCUCAGCCUCAGUUUUGGAGACGCCUUUUCAUGGAGGUAUGAUAUGUCAUAAUACAGAGGAAUAUAAAAACUAUUGGUUAGACUUUCCAGAUCUUUGAUUCCUGCUUGCCAUCAAUAGUAAUAGCCAGCAGAGGACAAAAUAAGUGGACACAGCAUAUUAACUGAUGAUUAACUGAUGAAAAAGCCCAGAAAUAGUCAUCUGUUUUUACUGUGGAGACACUGUAAGGAAAAUGUUAUAACUUUAAAAAUUUUGUAUUAACAUAACCAUGUUUUCCUAUAGUAAAAUUAUUUGUAGUUCAAUAGAAUUAACUCUGUUAGUGGUUCAAGAACUUGACUUCCAGAUGUUCCACCAUUUGAAUAAAUUUGGGCAUUGUUGCAGAGCGAAGAACCAGAUCCUGUCAACUACACUUGGAAUGAAAAGCCCCAUUAUUGGUUCUUGACAGUGAGAGGACUAAUUCCUCCAUGGGACCACUGGAUAAAAAUGCUGCUGCUUUGUUUUCUUUUGCUGUAACCUGUUUCACACAGACUUACUGGAGAUGUUGUGAUUUGAACAGAGAAUGAAUCUGUGUUCUAUAGGUAGUCUGGCCUGCCUGAGCCGAGAUGCCAGAGCUGAUUGGGUAAUGCUCUGAGCCAAGAGCUGAAGAGGUGCUGUGCCAGAAUUAUCUCAAAGUUUGACAGGCAGCACCUCUCUGUAGCUAUUGAGCAAUAGUAAUCAGGAACAGGUUUGAGGGAGGACAGAUGGAAAAGACCAGAAAAAGCUCAUUUAUUCUCUCAGAAUUUUGCUUUAGCUGAUUUUGGAACAUUAACAUUUGUAGGAAAAUGUUCCCCUAACUGGAGUGGUAUAUUGGUGGCAGGGGUUGGGGAGGGUGUAACUUGCGCUUUUUAAAAAACUACAUUAUACACACACACACACACACACACACACACACACACAUGCAUUCACCUUCACAUUCUGGUACCUAUAGCACUGUGUGUAAUAAAGUGAAAUACAGUUUCCUCUCAAAGAGUAUAAUAACAAGGUAGACAUGGCACCUUUUACGUCUUUUAAAAACAUAAGGUAUGAGUAUCAUGAGAAGUAAUUUAUGUUGUUAUCCAGAAAAGUAAUUGUAAGUGAAGUCACGCCUCCAAGGAGUAAAUAAACAUUUUAUGUUGCA